rnacentral:rRNA from 1 species
UAUCUCAAUUAUAACUAUCAACAACGGAUCUCUUGGCUCUCACAUCGAUGAAGAACGCAGCGAACCGCGAUAUUUUUUGUGACUUGCAGAUGUGAAUCAUCAAUCUUUGAACGCACAUUGCGCGGUAUGGCAUUCCGUACCGCACGGAUGGAGGAGCGUGUUCCCUCUGGGAUCGCAUUGCUUUCUUGAAAUGGAUUUUUUUAAACUCUCAAUUAUUACGUCAUUUCACCUCCUUCAUCCGAGAUUACCCGCUGAACUUAAGCAUAUCAAUAAGCGGAGGAAAAGAAACCAACAGGGAUUGCCUCAGUAACGGCGAGUGAAGCGGCAAAAGCUCAAAUUUGAAACCCUCGGGAUUGUAAUUUGAAGAUUUGGCAUUGGAGAAAGCUAACCCAAGUUGCUUGGAAUAGUACGUCAUAGAGGGUGACAACCCCGUCUGGCUAACCGUUCUCCAUGUAUUGCCUUAUCAAAGAGUCGAGUUGUUUGGGAAUGCAGCUCAAAGUGGGUGGUAAACUCCAUCUAAAGCUAAAUACUGGUGAGAGACCGAUAGCGAACAAGUACUGUGAAGGAAAGGUGAAAAGAACUUUGAAAAGAGAGUGAAAUAGUAUGUGAAAUUGUUGAUAGGGAAGGAAAUGAGUGGAGAGUGGCCGAGGUUUCAGCCGCCCCUCGUGGGCGGUGUACUGCCGACGCCGAGUCAUCGAUAGCGAGACGAGGGUUACAAAUGGGAGCGCCUUCGGGCGUUCUCCCCUAACCCUCCACACUGCCACCGACGACAUAAUCCACCCAUUUCACCCGUCUUGAAACACGGACCAAGGAGUCUAAUGGAUAUGUGAGUGUUAGGGUGGCAAACCCCAGCGCGCAAUGAAAGUGAAUGGAUUCGUUCAGAAUCGACCGAACUUGAUUAUUAUGACAGUUUUGAGUAAACACAUCCAUUGGGACCCGAAAGAUGGUGAACUAUGCCUGGAUAGGGUGAAGUCAGAGGAAACUCUGAUGGAGGCUCGUAGCGGUUCUGACGUGCAAAUCGAUCGUAGGAUCUGGGUAUAGGGGCGAAAGACUAAUCGAACCAUCUAGUAGCUGGUUCCUGCCGAAGUUUCCCUCAGGAUAGCAGAAGCUCAUAUCAGUUUUAUGAGGUAAAGCGAAUGAUUAGAAGUAUUGGGGGCGAAAUGCCCUCGGC